rnacentral:lncRNA from 1 species
UUCCUAUGAACAUUGUAACAUCUCUUAGCCGUAUCUGAUGCUGGGACAGGAUACGAGGCAUUAUCGGAUUUAUAACUCAAACCAGAACAGUAAGACUUUAACUUAUCAAUCGUCAACAUCAUUCAACACUAAUCCAACAUAUCAUGCUUAAAACAAUUAUAUAAGCUUAUACUAAAGUGACCAUUCUAUGUAGUCACAUAUAUACAAGCAUCUAAAUACCAUUUACAAAUUAAUCACAUUUCAACAUUCUUAUCAACUCAUCCAUAAUUACAUAUCAUUCAAACCAAAAUACCAAUUAUAAAUUUUAACACUAAAUGCACACAUCAUAUAAUGCUUUCGUAUCAAACCAACUUUUCUCAUAUCAAGUUAUAUCACAUAGCUUGAUCAUAAUACUCAAAAUUCAUCUCACAUUCAUAUAAACAAGUGACCAUGUAAUCAAUUUAUUAACUAGCCUAUACAUGCCAUAUUACCCAAUUUCAAAGAGUUUAGGAAUACCAAUUGCCUCCUGGAUAGUGUGAUGAAAUCUUCAAUGACUUCCAACCUGAUUGAGCAUUCGAAUAACUGUAAAAUACAGAGAAUAGACAGAGUAAGCUAAUAAGCUUAGUAGCUCGCAUAAUUAUCAGCACUGUAUAAAAGAUUUAACAUUAAGCUUGUCAUUUUAAGCAAUAAGAUUGCUUUUAAACCAGCCUCAUCUAAUUCAAUAUUUAUUUCCUUAACAGUCAUGUAAUUCAUGUGUAAUUUAUCACAUCUACUCACGUGUCAUAUAAAUUUAUCAAUGUCACUUGCUUGUCAAGUGUACCAUGUAUACCUGUACUGAUUUGUAUCAUCAUUUCUAUUCUCGCAGCAUCAUAAUUACAGUUGAACCCUUGAGACCAACAUCAAAAACCCUGUAUCUUGCAUACUAAAUGCCAUAAAUGUGACUAAACCAUUUAUAUCACAUAUCACCAAUACAAUAUUAAUAUCAUAGAAUUCAUAUAGCAUUAGGUCGAUUUAUUUCAUUACGUAUAACCUAUAACACCUUUAUAUAACCGAUAGUAGAAUUAUACCCGUAUAAAUAUUAACUCAUCAGUAACAUCAAUAAUUCAUAAUUUGUAACAAAUAAUCAUUUUACUUACUUACCUAAUUUUGAAUAACAAAUAAAUUAGGUCAUAUCUGACCAUCCAACUCGUCUUACACAUUCCGUACCACAUUGGCACCCGGUGUAAACCAGCUAGGAAUAAGCCUGAUAAAACUCACCGACUCAAGGCCUGCUAGGCUUUUAGCCUGAAUCAUUCAUCGGCACAAGGCCUGCUAGACCCAAGGUCUGAUAUUUAUCCACCGGCAAUAAGCCUACUAGGCACGAAGCCCGAUCAAAUUCUCCGACACAUAGCCUGCUAGGCUAGAAACCCGAAUAUCAUUUAUUCACAAUCAACUCAAGCACACUUUCAUUCAUAAGAAAAUUCGAUUAUCAUACAUUUUCCAUUCAAUUUCUCAAUAUCAAUACUUAAUCAAAACAACUCAAACAUUCCCAUUCUAUCCUUACUACAUUCGGCUAUUAUUCAUUUAGCCAUAAAUCCAAAAUUAACAUUUUAAACAAAUUGUUUUAUUCAAACAAGAACAUUUAAAUUUCUUAUAGACUUGCUACAUGGUAUCGUAUAUAGAUAUAUAUAAUCAUAUCAUUUUACUCAUCCAAUUUGUACAUCUAUCAUGCAACCUUCUUUACCAUUAUCAAUCACACAGCUUUACGAUCUAUAAUAUUAACCCUAUAGGUUUGAUAACCUGCUCAAAUUCAAAUUUAUAACUCAUAAAUACUUCUCAAGAAAUUCAAGGAAAAAAAUACUUUCAAUCAUUCCCAAUUACUCGAAAAGUCGCACACUUAGUGCCAAUAGUUAUUCAACAUUAUAUAUCGAAUUCGCACACUUAGUGCUAGAUACUUAAGCUUGCACACUUAGUGCUCAAUUAUCAGACCCGCACACUUAGUGCAAUUUUUACAUCUAUAUCCUUUUAUACUCGCACCCUCUGUGUCGAAAUUCGAUUACUCACUAUUCAUCAAUUCAAAUUUAUCAACUUUAUUUGCAUUCGGCAACCUCAAAUUUUUUUUUAUAUAUAUACAUUUCAAUUUGGCACAUAUGUGUAUAUAUAGUAUUUAAUUUAAUCAACAACAAAUAUUUCCUUAGUAACUUACCACAUACAAGGCAUUUAAUUUAUCAUAUAUUAAAGCUCAAUUAACUCCAAUAUACAUUUACUCAACCACAUAGUACUUCAUUACUUUCAAACACAAGAUCGAAUAUAUAUUAUGGCAUUCCAUCAUCAUGUAAAUUAAUAUAAUCAAGUACAAAGCCAUUUAACAUAUCUACCAUUACAUACUUAAAUUUGGCAGAUUAUCCAUCAUCUCUUAUAUCAUAUAAUUUUUUUAUCAAUUUAAUCAUAUAAUUCAAUGACUGCAACAUAUUCAUAGAGCCGAUAAAUUUUAGUUAUUUAUUCAUUCUGUAAACAAUUAACAUCAAUUAAAAACAAUUUUAGUAGCUAAUAAUUCGAUAUUUUUUUAACCAUACGAACUUACCUCGUGUAUCCGUCGACUAUUCGUCUACUUUCCGAUUUUUCCUCGAUCAAAAUCUUGAAUUCGUUUGGCUUGAUCUAAUUUAACCAAAUUUAACUCAAUUAUUCACUAACAUAAUCAAUUAAAUACAUAUACAAGUAUUUUGGCCAUUUUGCAAAAUAACCCUUAAAUUUUCAUACUUUAACAAUUUAGUCCUUAAUGCAUAAUUAUGCAAAAAUACACAAAACCCCAAUAUACAUGUAUUUAGCCGAAUUUUCUAUAAUAUUUAAACAGCCAUAAUUUCAUUUUAUUCACAUUUCUAACCACAAAAAUUCUAUCUUUUUCAAUUUAAUCCCAAAUACUCAAUUUCAUCAAAAAUCUCUUUAUAAAACUUGUAUAUCUAUAAACAACCAUCAAUAAUUUAACAAGAAAUAUUAAAACAAACAUGCACUCAUCAAUGGCACAUUUCAAAAACACAACCAAUUUCAGAAAUUGAGGUACGGGUCAGUUAAACCGAGCUACAACGAGCUCAAAAACAUAGAAAUCAUUAAAAACUGAUCAAAAACCGUACCUUAAUCCCUUAGAAAGCCAUGGCCGAAUGUUAAAGCUUCCAAAACCCUUUCUUUGUUUAAUUAUUCGGCUAAAGAUGAUGAAAACAUAAUAAAAAUAUCAUAUGGCUUUAUU